GGAGGCACCCUCCCCUCAGCCAUCCUUCAGGAACAUAGUCUUGGCUGGGCCCCAGGAGGACCAGGCCAUGUGUGAUUUGUCCUUUCAAACAGCCGCACUGCCUGCAGGGCUGAGAGCCAGGAGGCCCCACGAGGCAGAGGAGGCCCAGCCACGUGAGGCCCCUCCCUUCCUGCUGCCCCAGGCCCCGCUGACUCAGAGCCUGGCAGUCCUCCCAGGGUUCUGCGUGCCAGUAAGCGCUGGGUGGGGCCAAGGCAACCCUCGCUGCGCCCCUUGGCACCCACACAGACUCCUCCUGUGUGGGGAGGGUGGGAACGCUUCUUACCUUCCGUCCCAUAAUCAACUGUCUUCUUUGAACAAUAGAUUGUGAAUAAUUUCACAUCCCGGAACAUUCUCUCUCCAGGCAUGAUUUUCGUGGCUGCAAAACAGCGGCUUCUCCAUCAUUACGCAACUGGCCUCUCUGAUCGUUUCCAGAUUGCUCUCGGCCAUGCACCUCCUUGUCUAAACUCCGUUCUGCACCACCAGCAGUAUCAUGGCCUGGGGAGAAGGGGCUGUGUGCUCCAUUCCAGGAUCAAGACUUUGUAGAAAUCAUGUUUUCUAGAUGGUUGUGGGCUGUUGUCAGCAGAAGGACUCAAGGCAAUUAACAUACAGCUAAUGAACUCCAAAGAGGCGCUUUGAUUUUUGAAGAAUCUGACUUGAGAACAAAUCAAGACUAAGACUAAUAUAGCCUCAUCUUUCAACAUAGGAGAGUCGGAAAACAGGCUGAGUCUGCGACACCCAAAUGCCUGCCACCACCACAUCCCGGUAUGUGGGUUCAGCACUUGACAGCUAACAGAUCUCUUUGCUAGAUACAGCAAUCACAUUUUCUGGUUAAGGGAGUGAAAUUAACAUUUACCUUUUUUUUUUUUUUUUUUGAGACAGAGUCUCGCUCUGUGUCCCAGGCUAGAGUGCAGUGGCGUGAUCUCGGCUCACUGCAAGCUCUGCCUCCUGGGUUCACGCCAUUCUCCUGCCUCAGCCUCCCGAGUAGCUGGGACUACAGGCGCCCACCACCAGGCCUAGCUAUUUAUUUUUUUGUCUUUUUAGUAGAGGUGGGGUUUCACCGUGUUAGCCAGGAUGGUCUUGAUCUCCUGACCUGGUGACCUGCCCACCUAGGCCUCCCAAAGUGCUGGGAUUACAGGCGUGAGCCACCGUGCCUGGCCUUUUGUUUUUGUUUUUGUUUUGUUUGGAGACAGAGUCUCACUGUGUCGCCCAGGCUGGAGUGCAGUGGAGCAAUCUCGGCUCACUGCAAACUUCCCCUCCUGGGUUCAAGGGAUUCUUGAGCCUCAGCCUCCUGAGUAGCUAGGACUACAGGCGUGCGCCACCACAUCAGGCUAAUUUUUGUAUUUUUAGUAGAGAUGGGGUUUCACCAUGUUGGCCAGGCUGGUCUUGAAUUCCUGGCAUCAAGUGAUCUGCCCGCCUCGGCCUCCCAAAGUGCUGGGAUUACAGGCGUGAGCCACCGCGCCCAGCAACAUUUACCAAUUUUGAUGAGAAUGUGGAACACUAGAACUCUGGGACGCUGUGGGUGGGAAGGUAACGUGGUGCAAGGACCUUGGACAACUAUGUGGAAAAUACUAAAGUUAAAUGUACACACGGUAACCCAGCACUCCACUCCUGGGUAUGUUUCCAGCAGUUUGUAACAGGCCCAAAUAAUCCAUCGAGGAUAGGAUGAUUAUGUUCUAUAUCACAACUGUGGUGGGGGUUACACAACUGUAUAUAUUUCCCCAAACUCACAGAACUGUACACUCAAAAGGGGAAAUUUUAGCACUAACUUUGGCAGCACAUAUAAUAAAAAAGGGAAAACUUAAUUUUACUGCAUGUAAGUUUUUCUUUUUAAUUUUGAAACAA
rnacentral:lncRNA from 10 species